UACGGAGGAUGCGAGCGUUACCCGGAUUUAUUGGGUUUAAAGGGUGCGUAGGCGGACGCUUAAGUCAGCGGUAAAAUUGCGGGGCUCAACCUCGUCGAGCCGUUGAAACUGGGUGCCUUGAGUGGGCGAGAAGUACGCGGAAUGCGUGGUGUAGCGGUGAAAUGCAUAGAUAUCACGCAGAACUCCGAUUGCGAAGGCAGCGUACCGGCGCCCAACUGACGCUGAAGCACGAAGGCGUGGGUAUCGAACAGG
rnacentral:rRNA from 1 species